UACGGGGGGAGCAAGCGUUGUUCGGAUUUACUGGCGUAAAGGGCGCGUAGGCGGCCAGUACAAGUCAGUUGUGAAAUCUCCGGGCUUAACUCGGAAAGGUCAACUGAUACUGUGCGGCUAGAGUGCAGAAGGGGCAACUGGAAUUCUCGGUGUAGCGGUGAAAUGCGUAGAUAUCGAGAGGAACACCUGCGGCGAAGGCGGGUUGCUGGGCCGAUACUGACGCUGAGGAGCGAAAGCGUGGGGAGCGAACAGG
rnacentral:rRNA from 1 species